GCCCGCGUAGCGCAAUCGGUAGCGCGUGAGACUUCUACUCUCCUCGCGAACAUCUCAAGGCUGUGGGUUCGAGUCCCACCGUGGGUG